GAUGAACGCUAGCUACAGGCCUAACACAUGCAAGUCGAGGGGCAUCGGGAGGGAAGCUUGCUUCCCUUGCCGGCGACCGGCGCACGGGUGAGUAACGCGUAUCGAACCUGCCCCAUACCCGGGGAUAGCCUUGCGAAAGUAAGAUUAAUACCCGAUGGCUUCCUUUUAUCUCCUGAUAGAGGGAAUAAAGAAUUUCGGUAUGGGAUGGCGAUGCGUCCGAUUAGCUAGUUGGCGGGGUAACGGCCCACCAAGGCGACGAUCGGUAGGGGUUCUGAGAGGAAGGUCCCCCACAUUGGAACUGAGACACGGUCCAAACUCCUACGGGAGGCAGCAGUGAGGAAUAUUGGUCAAUGGGCGAAAGCCUGAACCAGCCAAGUAGCGUGCAGGAUGACGGCCCUACGGGUUGUAAACUGCUUUUAUGCGGGGAUAAAGCGGGCGACGUGUCGCCCCUUGCAGGUACCGCAUGAAUAAGGACCGGCUAAUUCCGUG
rnacentral:rRNA from 1 species